UACGUAGGGUGCGAGCGUUAAUCGGAAUUACUGGGCGUAAAGCGUGCGCAGGCGGUUUUGUAAGCCAGAUGUGAAAUCCCCGGGCUUAACCUGGGAAUGGCAUUUGGGACUGCAAGGCUUGAGUUUGGCAGAGGAGACUGGAAUCCUGGUGUAGCAGUGAAAUGCGUAGAUAUCAGGAGGAAUACCGAUGGCGAAGGCAGGUCUCUGGGCUAGAACUGACGCUCAUGCACGAAAGCGUGGGGGAGCAAACAGG
rnacentral:rRNA from 1 species